rnacentral:rRNA from 1 species
GACGAACGCUGGCGGCGUGCUUAACACAUGCAAGUCGAACGGAAAGGCCCUGCUUGCAGGGUACUCGAGUGGCGAACGGGUGAGUAACACGUGGGUGAUCUGCCCUGCACUUCGGGAUAAGCCUGGUAAACUGGGUCUAAUACCGGCCAGGAGCCAUUUUUAGUGUGAUGGUUGGAAAGUUUUUUCGGUGUAGGCUGAGCUGGCGGCCUAUCAGCUUGUUGGUGGGGCAAUGGCCUACCAAGGCGGCGACGGGUAGCCGGACUGAGAGGGUGGACGGCCACAUUGGGACUGAGAGGCGGCCCAGACUGCUACGGGAGGGAGCAGGGGGGAAUAUUGCACAAGGGGCGCAAGCCUGAUGCAGCGACGCCGCGGGGGGGAUGACGGUCUUCGGGUUGUAAACUCAUUUCGCUAGGGACGAAGCUUGUUGUGACGGUACCUAGAGAAGAAGCACCGGCUAACUACGUG